UACGGAGGGUGCGAGCGUUAAUCGGAAUUACUGGGCGUAAAGCGCAUGCAGGCGGUCUGUUAAGCAAGAUGUGAAAGCCCGGGGCUCAACCUCGGAACAGCAUUUUGAACUGGCAGACUAGAGUCUUGUAGAGGGGGGUAGAAUUUCAGGUGUAGCGGUGAAAUGCGUAGAGAUCUGAAGGAAUACCGGUGGCGAAGGCGGCCCCCUGGACAAAGACUGACGCUCAGAUGCGAAAGCGUGGGGAGCAAAC
rnacentral:rRNA from 3 species